rnacentral:rRNA from 1 species
AGUGAACGCUGGCGGUAUGCCUAACACAUGCAAGUCGAACGGCAGCACAUUAAGAGCUUGCUCUUACGGGUGGCGAGUGGCGGACGGGUGAGGAAUACAUCGGAAUCUACUUUUUCGUGGGGGAUAACGUAGGGAAACUCACGCUAAUACCGCAUACGACCUACGGGUGAAAGCAGGGAAUCUUCGGACCUUGCGCGAAUGAAUGAGUCGAUGUCGGAUUAGCUAGUUGGCGUGGUAUAGUCCGACCAAGGCGACGAUCCGUAGCUGGUCUGAGAGGGUGAUUAGCCAGACUGGAACUGAGACACGGUCCCGACUCCUACGGGAGGCAGCAGUGGGGAAUAUUGGACAAUGCGCGCAUGCCUGAUCCAGCAAUACCGCGUGGGUGCAGAAGGACUUAGGGUUGUAAAGCCCUUUUGUUGGGAAAGAAAAGCAGCAGGUUAAUACCCCGCUGUUCUGACGGUACCCAACGAAUAAGCACCGGCUAACUUCGUG